rnacentral:hammerhead_ribozyme from 1 species
AUUCAGCUGACGAGUCUCAAACAGGAUGAAACGCGUGUCCUGGAU